GCACUAGUCGGGGAGCCAGCGGUGCCCUGUAACCUGCAAUCCGCUAUAGCAGGGAUGAAUUCCUUUCGGAGGAUAAGCUCCGUGUUGCCAGCCGAUGGUAAGCAGCGUAGAAGGUUCGGUCUUGCGCAACGGGAUCCCGUGAACCAUGUCAGGCGGGGAACCGAGCAGCAUUAAGCGGUGCAUACCGUGUGCCGCAAGGCAGCCGGACCCGAGCAGGCUGCCAUUGUACCGGA
rnacentral:SRP_RNA from 1 species